rnacentral:lncRNA from 1 species
CGCACACAAUAUGACAUCAACUAGACAAGUUUCAUGAUUUUUGAAAUUCAUUCAUAUUUUAUAUAAUUAAAAAACUACUCGCACGCAAGUUGGCGGUUUUGCCCCAUGUGCAUGUUGUUCGAAACUUUGAGAUAGUUCCUUGAUUUAGCCUAAAUUUACACUAAGAAACAAGGAUGACAUUUUUUGAAAGAAUGAAAUCUAUUAUUAGAUGCGCCUAUAGUUCAAACUCAUAUUUUUCAGAAAUAUUCAACGAAACAAAAUAAACUAAACAAAUAUACCCAAGGGCAAUGAAAUUAAAAUGUCCCAAAUUUGAACAUGUUUGUGUUAGUGUAGUAAAGCUUCAAAAAAUUGCUGGAAAAAAACAAAAAAAUAUAUUUUGCCGAGUGCCACC